AUUUAUUCAACUAAUGCUGAUGCCUCAAACACAACCAGACUUAACCAGACCACUGACCCAACCUAUUCAACUAAUGCUGAUGGCUCAAUGCAAAAAAAAAAUCCUAAUGGUCAUUUCAAUUUGCUCAACUUUCUUGAUUGCUGUCGCAUUGGCUCCUCAACAGCUGUUCAAUUUAGGCGAACAGUACAGAAGAAAACCAUGUUUAUGACUCAGUAAUAUAUACAGGAUAUCAGACCCUCCAGCCCAAGACUUCAGACGACCUAACUGAAACGAUUAAUUCAAAUGCUACAAGUAUUUCCGACCUAAGUAUCCAGCCUGAAACUUCGGAGAGCCUAACUGAAAGCAUCCCAACCAGUAUUGCUGACCAAACUGUGAGUUAUUUAACAAUGUUAAUAACGUCUAAUUUCAAGUUUAUCAACACUCUGUUUUUAAUGUUUGUAUAUGCAGAGAUGCUUACAUGCCAAAAGGGAAUUGUGUAUUCCCAGACCUGGAAAUGUGUAUUUUAAGAAGAAAAUGUGUAUUUUCCUAAAUAUCAAGAAAUAUACUAAGGAUAGACUAAAAUUAAAUCAUUCAAGCACAUAACAUACACAAAGGGCAGCAAUCCUAAACACAGCAUAAAGUUACAUAAGAUAUUUUGU